rnacentral:tRNA from 2 species
AAGGGUUUAGCUUAAGUGAAAGUGUCUGUUUUGCAUUCAGGAGAUGUGAGGUUAAGUCUUGCAGCCCUUA